GAUGAACGCUGGCGGCGUGCCUAAUACAUGCAAGUCGAGCGAACAGAUGAGGAGCUUGCUCCUCUGACGUUAGCGGCGGACGGGUGAGUAACACGUGGAUAACCUACCUAUAAGACUGGGAUAACUUCGGGAAACCGGAGCUAAUACCGGAUAAUAUAUUGAACCGCAUGGUUCAAUAGUGAAAGACGGUUUUGCUGUCACUUAUAGAUGGAUCCGCGCCGCAUUAGCUAGUUGGUAAGGUAACGGCUUACCAAGGCAACGAUGCGUAGCCGACCUGAGAGGGUGAUCGGCCACACUGGAACUGAGACACGGUCCAGACUCCUACGGGAGGCAGCAGUAGGGAAUCUUCCGCAAUGGGCGAAAGCCUGACGGAGCAACGGCGCGUGAGUGAUGAAGGUCUUCGGAUCGUAAAACUCUGUUAUUAGGGAAGAACAAAUGUGUAAGUAACUAUGCACGUCUUGACGGUACCUAAUCAGAAAGCCACGGCUAACUACGU
rnacentral:rRNA from 1 species